ensembl:misc_RNA Metazoa_SRP Metazoan signal recognition particle RNA
GCCAGGCGUGGUGGCCCACGCCUGUAAUCCCAGCACUUUGGGAGGCUGAGGCGGGUGGAUCACCUGAGGUCAGGAGUUUGAGACCAGCCUGGCCAACAUGGUGAAACCCCAUCUCUU